GACGAAUGCUGGCGGCGUGCCUAAUACAUGCAAGUCGAGCGAGACUCUUCGGAGUCUAGCGGCGGACGGGUGAGUAACACGUGGGCAACCUGCCUGUAAGACUGGGAUAACACCGGGAAACCGGUGCUAAUACCUGAUAAUCCUUUUUCUCUCAUGAGGAAAAGCUGAAAGUCGGUUUCGGCUGACACUUACAGAUGGGCCCGCGGCGCAUUAGCUAGUUGGUGAGGUAACGGCUCACCAAGGCGACGAUGCGUAGCCGACCUGAGAGGGUGAUCGGCCACACUGGGACUGAGACACGGCCCAGACUCCUACGGGAGGCAGCAGUAGGGAAUCUUCCACAAUGGACGAAAGUCUGAUGGAGCAACGCCGCGUGAGCGAUGAAGGCCUUCGGGUCGUAAAGCUCUGUUGUUAGGGAAGAACAAGUACCGGAGUAACUGCCGGUACCUUGACGGUACCUAACCAGAAAGCCACGGCUAACUACGUGCCAGCCGCCGCCGUAA
rnacentral:rRNA from 1 species